CCUUGAAAUACCACCCUUUAAUGUUUGAUGUUCUAACGUUGGCCCCUGAUCGGGGUUGCGGACAGUGUCUGGUGGGUAGUUUGACUGGGGCGGUCUCCUCCUAAAGAGUAACGGAGGAGCACGAAGGUUGGCUAAUCCUGGUCGGACAUCAGGAGGUUAGUGCAAUGGCAUAAGCCAGCUUGACUGCGAGCGUGACGGCGCGAGCAGGUGCGAAAGCAGGUCAUAGUGAUCCGGUGGUUCUGAAUGGAAGGGCCAUCGCUCAACGGAUAAAAGGUACUCCGGGGAUAACAGGCUGAUACCGCCCAAGAGUUCAUAUCGACGGCGGUGUUUGGCACCUCGAUGUCGGCUCAUCACAUCCUGGGGCUGAAGUAGGUCCCAAGGGUAUGGCUGUUCGCCAUUUAAAGUGGUACGCGAGCUGGGUUUAGAACGUCGUGAGACAGUUCGGUCCCUAUCUGCCGUGGGCGCUGGAGAACUGAGGGGGGCUGCUCCUAGUACGAGAGGACCGGAGUGGACGCAUCACUGGUGUUCGGGUUGUCAUGCCAAUGGCACUGCCCGGUAGCUAAAUGCGGAAGAGAUAAGUGCUGAAAGCAUCUAAGCACGAAACUUGCCCCGAGAUGAGUUCUCCCUGAGACUUUAAGUCUCCUGAAGGAACGUUGAAGACGACGACGUUGAUAGGCCGGGUGUGUAAGCGCAGCGAUGCGUUGAGCUAACCGGUACUAAUGAACCGUGAGGCUUAACCUU
rnacentral:rRNA from 1 species